CCUUGACAUACUAAGAACUUUCCAGAGAUGGAUUGGUGCCUUCGGGAACUUAGAUACAGGUGCUGCAUGGCUGUCGUCAGCUCGUGUCGUGAGAUGUUGGGUUAAGUCCCGCAACGAGCGCAACCCUUUUCCUUAUUUGCCAGCGGGUCAUGCCGGGAACUUUAAGGAUACUGCCAGUGACAAACUGGAGGAAGGCGGGGACGACGUCAAGUCAUCAUGGCCCUUACGGCCAGGGCUACACACGUGCUACAAUGGUCGGUACAAAGGGUUGCUACCUCGCGAGAGGAUGCUAAUCUCAAAAAGCCGAUCGUAGUCCGGAUCGCAGUCUGCAACUCGACUGCGUGAAGUCGGAAUCGCUAGUAAUCGCGGAUCAGAAUGCCGCGGUGAAUACGUUCCCGGGCCUUGUACACACCGCCCGUCACACCAUGGGAGUUUGUUGCACCAGAAGUAGAUAGUCUAACCGCAAGGAGGACGCUUACCACGGUGUGGCCGAUGACUGGGGUGAAGUCGUAACAAGGUAGGCGUAGAUGA
rnacentral:rRNA from 1 species